UUUAUUUAGGUAUUAGUAGUAUAGAUAAAUUUUUGUUUAGGUGUACUGUAAAGGAUUAGUUUAUUUGGUUGUUAGUAAAAAUAAAAAUUUGUACCUUUUGUAUAAUGGGUUAAUGAUAUUUAAAAUUUUUUAUAGAAUUAUCUCGAAUUAGGAGGAUUUAUUUGGUAAUAUAUGUUAACGUGGUAAAGUUAUAUGUUUAUUAUUGAAUGGUAAUGAAAUGUUUAUCGUUUCCUAGAAUAGCUAGUUUAUUAGGUGAAAGAUAUUUAAGUAUCAUAGUGUUUAUAUAAUAAAGUUAUAUUUGAAUACUAGUUUAUUAUAUGGGGGAUAAGCUUCAUAUAGGUUUAUAGAAUGUUAUGUAUAAGUAAAUAUAAUUUAAGUAGGGUUAAAAUUUAGUUUUUCUUAAUGAUUUAAUUUAUUAUCUGUUUAAAAUAUUUCAAGUGGUAUGUAAUUAAUAAAUGAUUGUUAAUAUUUUUAGUUAAAUAUAAUGUUAAUAUGAGUAUUGGUUUAUGGUUUAUCUAUUUAUUGUAAUUAUAAAUGUAAAUUGUUAUUUAGUUUUAUAAAAAAUUAAGUAAAGUGAAGGAAUUCGGCAAAUAUUAAUCUCGCCUGUUUAUCAAAAACAUCUCUCUUUGUUGAUUCAUAAAUAAAGAGUUGGGCCUGCUCGGUGAAAUGUUUAACAGCUGCGGUAUUUUAACUGUACUAAGGUAGCAUAAUAAUUUGCCUUAUAAUUUGAGGCUAGAAUGAAUGGUUUGACGAAGGUUAAUCUGUCUCCACUUUAUUUUUUAGAAAUUAAUUUUCAUAGUGAAAAAGCUUGAAUUUUUUAAGGGGACGAGAAGACCCUAUUGAGCUUAUAAUUUUAUUAAUAUUUUAUAAAUAUUUAUGUUGUAUUAUAUAAAUUUUAAUUGGGGUGAUUAAGGAAUAAUUUUAUUGAUUUUAUAGUGUAACUUCCUUAGAAAACAUAUUGUUAAAUUAAGUAACCGAUUUAUAUAUAGGUUUAUAUUGGGUAUUGCUUAUAAUAUAGUUACCAUAGGGAUAACAGCGUAAUUUACUUAGAGAGUUCUUAUUGAAAAGUAAGAUUGCGACCUCGAUGUUGGAUUAAAGUAACCUUAAGGUGCAGAAGCUUUAUAAGGUAAAUCUGUUCGAUUUUUAAAACUUUACAUGAUCUGAGUUCAGACCGGCGUGAGCCAGGUUGGUUUCUAUCUUUUAAAAAUUGUUAUUGCUUCUUUUAGUACGAAAGGAUCGAAGAAAGCUAAAAGUUUAAUUAAAAAAGA
rnacentral:rRNA from 1 species